rnacentral:rRNA from 1 species
GAAUCCCGUCUUUGGCAUGGAUGACCGGGGCUUUUGUGAUGCGCUCUCGAAGAGUCGGGUUGUUUGGGAAUGCAGCUCAAAAUGGGUGGUGAACUCCAUCUAAAGCUAAAUAUUGGCGAGAGACCGAUAGCGAACAAGUACCGUGAGGGAAAGAUGAAAAGCACUUUGGAAAGAGAGUGAAACAGUACGUGAAAUUGUUGAAAGGGAAACGCUUGAAGUCAGUCGCGUCGGCCGAGACUCAGCCUUGCCUCGGCUUGGUGUACUUCUUGACCGACGGGUCAGCAUCAAUUUUGCCCCUUGGAUAAUGGCGAGGGAAAUGUGACACCUUUAUAGGUGUGUUAUAGUCUCUCGUCGCAUGCAAGGGUCGGGAUUGAGGAACUCAGCACGCGCCUUCGGGCGUCGGGGCCUUGCCCACGAUACGUGCUUAGGAUGUUGGCGUAAUGGCUUUAAACGACCCGUCUUGAAACACGGACCAAGGAGUCUAACAUGCCCGCGAGUGUUCGGGUGGAAAACCCGUGCGCGCAAUGAAAGUGAAAGUUGGGACCUCUGUCGCGGAGGGCACCGACGCCCGGACCAGAGCUUCUGCGACGGAUCUGCGGUGGAGCGUGUAUGUUAGGACCCGAAAGAUGGUGAACUAUGCCUGAAUAGGGUGAAGCCAGAGGAAACUCUGGUGGAGGCUCGUAGCGAUUCUGACGUGCAAAUCGAUCGUCAAAUUUGGGUAUAGGGGCGAAAGACUAAUCGAACCAUCUAGUAGCUGGUUCCUGCC